GCCGUCGCUGCUCACCACCACCUCGUCGGCGUCGCCUCGUCUUCGUCCUCCUCCCCAUCGGACUCCCCCACGCCUCGACGCCCCCCUGCUCUCCAACGCCGGUGAGCCCCCCCGGCCUCCUAUUUCCCCCUCUCCGCUCGCCCCGUACAGCCGCCUAUCGUGCUCCCAGGCUCGUCGCGCCUACACGCCACGCGCGCGCGCGAACCCGUGCCCGCUCGUGCCUUGNNNNNNNNNNNNNNNNNNNNNNNNNNNNNNNNNNNNNNNNNNNNNNNNNNNNNNNNNNNNNNNNNNNNNNNNNNNNNNNNNNNNNNNNNNNNNNNNNNNNNNNNNNNNNNNNNNNNNNNNNNNNNNNNNNNNNNNNNNNNNNNNNNNNNNNNNNNNNNNNNNNNNNNNNNNNNNNNNNNNNNNNNNNNNNNNNNNNNNNNNNNNNNNNNNNNNNNNNNNNNNNNNNNNNNNNNNNNNNNNNNNNNNNNNNNNNNNNNNNNNNNNNNNNNNNNNNNNNNNNNNNNNNNNNNNNNNNNNNNNNNNNNNNNNNNNNNNNNNNNNNNNNNNNNNNNNNNNNNNNNNNNNNNNNNNNNNNNNNNNNNNNNNNNNNNNNNNNNNNNNNNNNNNNNNNNNNNNNNNNNNNNNNNNNNNNNNNNNNNNNNNNNNNNNNNNNNNNNNNNNNNNNNGUCGCCCGGCCCGCGCGCUGGCCGCGUCGCGGCCGGCGUCGCCGCCCCCUGGUGGCCUCGGGCGUGCAUGGGUGCCCACGCCCGCAAAGCCCCUCCGCUCGUUAACCCGCGUGGCCUCCUAGGCCACUUACCAGUGGGGCCUGCCCCUGUUUAAAAAAAGAACAAAAAGAAAUAUGUAUAAAUAAAAAUUAAAAAUAAUUAUUAUUAUGUAAUUAAUUAACUUAAUUAAUCAUGUUAAUUAACCUAAUUAACUUAUUAACUAAUUAAACUGUUAAUUAGUGUUAGUCAAUGACAACCGGGACCCACGUGCUAGUUUGACCAGUCAAACAGACUGUUGAGUGAUGACAUCAUGCUGAUGUCAUGCUGACACAGUAAUGGCUUUUAUCUAUUUAAAUUAAUUCUAUUAAUUCCGAAAAUGAAUUAAAACUUUGGAAAUUAAUAGAAACUAAUCUGUAGCUCAGAUGAAAAAGUUUUAUACAUGAAAGUUGCUCAGAACGACGAGACGAAUCCGAAUACGUGGUCUGUUCGCCCGCCACACGCCCUUAGAAUAGCAAACAUGCAACAUUUUCCCUCUGUUUUGUCUGCCCGAAAAUGCCAAACUUCGGGAAAACAUUACUGGAUGUUUUUCCCCUUCGCCGGUAGCGUGUAGCACCGUGCUAGAACACGUCUAGCUCUGUCUGUUGUCAUGUUAUGCUCUUGCUUGCUAUGUGAGGGAGUCCUGGACUAGGGGGUGUCCGGAUAGCCGAACUAUCAUCAUUGGCCGGACUCCAAGAUUAUGAAGAUACAAGAUUGAAGACUUCGUCCCGUUUCCGGAUGGGACUUUCCUUGGCGUGGAAGGCAAGCUUGGCAAUACGGAUAUGUAGAUCUCCUACCAUUGUAAUCGACUCUGGGUAACCCUAGCCCUCUUCGGUGUCUAUAUAAACCGGAGGGUUUUAGUCCAUAGGACGAACAACAACCAUACCAUAGGCUAGCUUCUAGGGUUUAGCCUCCUUGAUCUCGUGGUAGAUCUACUCUUGUACUACCCAUAUCAUCAAUAUCAAUCAAGCAGGAGUAGGGUUUUACCUCCAUCGAGAGGGCCCGAACCUGGGUAAAAACAUCGUGUCCCUUGUCUCCUGUUACCAUCCGCCUAGACGCACAAUUCGGGACCCCCUACCCGAGAUCCGCCGGUUUUGACACCGACAUUGGUGCUUUCAUUGAGAGUUCCUCUGUGUCGUCACCUAUAGGCCCGAUGGCUCCUUCGAUCAUCAACAACGAUGCGGUCCAGGGUGAGACUUUUCUCCCCGGACAGAUCUUCGUAUUCGGCGGCUUUGCACUGCGGGCCAAUUCGCUUGGCCAUCUGGAGCAGAUUGAAAGCUACGCCCCUGGCCAUCAGGUCAGAUUUGGAAGCUUGAACUUCACGGCCGACAUCCGCGGAGACUGGAUCUUCGCCGGAUUCGAGCCACAGCCGAGCGCGCCGCACUGUCACGAUGGGCAUGAUCUAGCUCUGCUGCCGGACAGUGCCCUGGAGGCCGCACACGAGUCCGCUCUGACCCUUAACUCGGAGCCGACUGCGCCAAUCGAGGAUGGGUGGCUAGACACCGCCUCGGGGGCUGUCCCUUGUGAAGCUCGUGACUCCGAGGUGUCGGACUCCUCGCCAGACUCCGAACCUCCCGCGCCCCUGCCAAUCGAAUCCCAUUGGGCGCCGAUCAUGGAGUUCACCGCUGCGGACAUCUUUCAGCACUCGCCUUUUGGCGACAUCCUGAAUUCACUAAAGUAUCUCUCGUUAUCAGGAGAGCCCUGGCCGGACUGCGAUCAAGACGGUUGGGAUGCGGACGACGAAGAAAUUCAAAGCCCACCCACCACCCACUUUGUAGACACUGUCGACGACCUAACCGACAUGCUCGACUUCGACUCCGAAGACAUCGACGGUAUGGACGAUGAUGCCGGAGACGACCAAGAACCAGCGCCUACGGGGCACUGGAAAGCCACCUCGUCAUACGACAUAUACAUGGUGGACAUCACCGUUAAUGGAGAUUCCGGCACUGGAGACAAUAAUACCCCGGACAGUGCCGAAGACAACCCCCUCCAGCAAGAUUCAGCACAGGGGGAUGAAGAAGCCAGCCCUCAUAAGAGAGCGGCAGACAAAGAUGUAGAGGACGAUAAUUACAUGCCUCCCUCCGGAGAUGAGGCAAGCCUCGACGACGACGAAUUCGUCGUGCCUGAGGAUCCCGUCAAACAAGAGCGUUUUAAACGCAGGCUUAUGGCCACGGCAAGUAGCCUCAAGAAAAAGCAGCAACAGCUUAGAGCUGAUCAAGAUCUGCUAGCCGACAGAUGGACAGAAGUCCUUGCGGCCGAAGAGUAUGAACUCGAACGCCCCUCCAAAAUCUACCCCAAACGCAAGCUGCUGCCCCGAUUAGAGGAGGAAGCAUAUAAACCUACAUCACCAGUGCACAAUACAGCCGACCGACCACCUCGUGGACGCGACAGAGAGGCCUCUAGGCCUUCCACUAAAGCCGUACCCCGGCAUCGCUUGAAAAGUACAAAGCCACGGGGGAAUGCACCGGACUUGCGAGACAUAUUGGAGGAUAAGGCAAGACAAUCAAGAUAGAUCUACGGAUCGCGUGGGCGCCCCAUGAUACGUGACGACAACUGUUGCGCCGGAUACAGCAAUUUCGGCCAGGCCGAACAUAGUAGACAAAGCUCGCUUGAGCUACGUCGUGAUAUAGCCCAAUACAGAGGCGCCGCACACCCACUAUGCUUCACAGAUGAAGUAAUGGAUCAUCAAAUCCCCGAAGGGUUCAAACCCGUGAACAUUGAAUCCUACGACGGCACAACAGACCCCGCGGUUUGGAUCAGAGACUAUCUCCUUCACAUCCACAUGGCCCGCGGCGACGAUCUUCACGCCAUCAAAUACCUCCCACUCAAGCUUAAAGGCCCAGCUCGGCAUUGGCUUAACAGCCUGCCAGCAGAAUCAAUUGGGUGUUGGGAGGACCUAGAAGCCGCAUUCCUUGAUAACUUCCAGGGCACAUAUGUGCGACCACCAGACGCUGAUGACCUAAGCCACAUAAUUCAGCAACCAGACGAAUCGGCCAGACAAUUCUGGACACGGUUCGUAACCAAGAAAAAUCAAAUCAUCGACUGUCCGGAUGCAGAGGCCCUCGCAGCCUUGAAACAUGUUAGAUAAUAACGAGAAUAAACGAGACAAAGAGAGACACGGAUUUUUACGUGGUUUUUACGUGGAAACCCUUGUGGAAGAAAACCACGGACGCAUGAAGGCGCAAUCACUAUGAUGGAGGAGUAUUACAAGCACGAGACGACAGGUCGUCUGAGGUGCGACUACAUGGGGUAUAUAAGAGGGCAAUACAUGAGAGGAGGACAAGUAAACGAGUUGUACUCGUAUGCGUCGACGUCAACGCAACGCCCACACCGGUUGUACUACGUCUAGUCAACCCGGUACUAGAAUUUGGAUCACAAUUUAACAAUCUCCACCUUGAGCCAAAUUCCCUCCAGUAGUCAAAGAAAGUGAAUAGCUCCAUCCAAAUCAGCAUAAACACAUUGUGCGUCAAAGUCCAUAGGACUAGUGAGAGAUACCAACUAAGCCUAAGCAAAGCUCAAACUUAUUGGUAGGAACUAGCUUUGUCAUCGUAUCAGCAGGAUUAUCAUGAGUACUUAUCUUGCCUACCUUCAAAUUGCCUUCAGCAACAACAUCUCGAAUAUAAUGAAAUCUAACAUCAAUGUGCUUUGUCCUCUCAUGAUACAUUGGAUUCUUUGUAAGAUAUAUGGCACUUUGACUGUCAGAAAAUAUGGUAGGGCAAGAUGAGUCUCCACAAAGCUCAGUGUACAAACCUCUCAACCAGAUAGCUUCCUUGCAUGCCUCAGAAAUAGCCAUAUACUCAGCAUCAGUAGUGGAACAAACCACAAUAGACUGCAAAGUUGCUCUCCAACUCACAGCACAACCACCAAUGGUGAAAACAUAACCUGUGAGUGAACUUCUCUUAUCCAAAUCACCAGCAAAAUCAGAAUCAACAAAACCAGCAAGUCCAUCUCCAGUUUUCCCAAACUGUAAAUAAGCAUUAGAAGUACCACGCAGGUACCUGAAAAUCCACUGAACUGCUUUCCAAUGCUCUUUUCCAGGAUUAGCCAUGUAUCUACUGACAACACUAAAUGCAUAUGAUAAAUCAGGACGAGAACAAACCAUGGCAUACAUAAGUGAACCAACUGCACUCGAAUAGGGAACUCUAGACAUGUACUCAAUAUCGGAAUCUGACUUAGGACAUAAAGCUGAUGACAAUUUGAAGUGUGCAGCUAACGGUGUACUCACCGGCUUGGCAAUAUGCAUAUUAAAACGACCAAGAACUUUAUCAAUAUAUCCCUUCUGACUUAGAUAUACUUUUCCAGAUGGUCUAUCUCUAGAUAUUUCCAUGCCAAGAAUUUUCUUUGCUGCACCCAAAUCCUUCAUCUCAAAUUCAUUACUCAAUUGCUUGUUUAGUUCAUCAAUAUCUGACAUACUCUUUGCAGCAAUAAGCAUAUCAUCAACAUAAAGGAGCAAAUAAAUAGUUGAACCGUUGACAGUUUUCAAAUAAACACAACUAUCAUAAUUAGACCUUUUGAAACCUUGAGAGAGCAUAAAGGUGUCAAAUCUCUUGUACCACUGUCUAGGGGAUUGCUUCAAUCCAUAAAGAGAUUUCUUUAACUUGUAGACAAGCUUUUCUUUUCCAGGAAUAACAAAACCUUCAGGUUGUUUCAUAUAAAUAUUCUCUUCUAAUUCUCCAUGUAAGAAUGCAGUUUUAACAUCCAAUUGUUCAAGCUCAAAAUCAUGCAUGGCAACAAUACUGAGUAAAGUGCGAAUAGAGCUAUGCUUCACAAUAGGAGAAAAGACUUUGUUAUAGUCAAUACCUGGAAUCUGACUGUAACCUUUAGCAACUAACCUUGCUUUAUAUCUUGUCUCAUCAUUAGGAGAAACACCUUCUUUCCUCUUGAAAACCCACUUGCAACGAAUAGGUUUCUUCUCUCUAGGCAAUUUUACUAAAUCCCAAGUGCCAUUCUUUUCAAGUGAUUCCAUCUCAUCAUGCAUAGCGGUCAUCCACUUAUUACUAUCACCAAAAAUAAUAGCCUCGGAAUAUGAAGAAGGCUCAGCAUUACCUUCAAUUUCUUCUGCAAUAGAUAAAGCAAAAGAAACAAUAUUGCACUCUUCAAUUAACCUGUCAGGUUUAAUAAUACCCCGUCUAACUCUGUCACGUGCAAGAUUCCAACUGGGUGGAACAAUAUGCUGAUUUGGAGUAGGAGUGACAUGAUCAUCAUUAACGACGGGUUCAUCAUGUGCAUCAACAAUUUCAUUACCAGAUGUAUCACCUGAAUCAAUAACAUGCUCCACCUGAACAGUAGGCUCCUGAACAAUAGGCUGUUGUUCACUCUCAACGGGAACAUUAAUAGAUGAAACAUCAUGUAACAUAGCAGAUUCAUUAAAGAUAACAUUUCUUCUAAUAACAACCUUCUGGGUUUCAGGAUUCCACAAUUUAAAACCUUUAACACCAGACUUAUAACCAAGAAAGAUGCACUUAACAGCCCUAGGCUCCAACUUUCCAUUAUCAACAUGAGCAUAAGCAGUGCAACCAAAAACUCUCAACUGUGAGUAAUCGGCAGGUGAACCAGACCAUACCUCAAUUGGAGUUUUCUUAUUAAGUGAAAUAGAUUGUGAACGGUUAAUGAGAUAACAAGCAGUGGAAGCGGCCUCAGCCCAAAAACGCCUAUGCAAACAUGCAUUGGACAACAUGCAACGGGCUCUGGAAAUAAUGGUCCUGUUCAUACGCUCAGCAACACCGUUUUGUUGAGGAGUAUAAGGAACGGUGCAAUGUCUGACAAUGCCUUAAGACUUGCAAUAAUUCUUAAAUUGCUUAGAACAGAAUUCCAUACCAUUAUCAGUGCAAAGUAUUUUUACCUUCCUUUCAGUUUGCCUUUCAAUCAUAAUCUUCCACUCCUUAAAUGCUGAGAAUGCUUCAUAUUUAUGCUUCAAGAAAUAAGGCCAAACUUUUCUCGAAUAAUCAUCAAUAAUAGUCAGCAUGUAACUAGCACCACCUAGUGACUUCUUGCGAGAUGGUCCCCAUAAAUCAGAAUGCACAUAAUCAAGAAUACCUUCAGUUGUAUGAGUCGAAGUGUUGAACUUCACCCUCUUGUGCUUGCCGAAGAUACAAUGCUCACAAAAUUUCAAUUUACCAGGUUCAUAUCCAUCAAGAAGACCUCUCUUAUUUAACUCUGCUAAACCAACUUCACUCAUAUGUCCAAGACGCAUAUGCCAAAGGUUAGCAGCAUCACAAUCAGAAUUCUUUGAAACAACUGGAGUAGCAUUACCUGAAACGGUAGAACCUCGAAGGUAAUAAAGACCAUUGGUCGAACUUAAGUCACCUUUCAUCACAACAAGGGAGCCUUUGGUGACCUUCAAAACACUAUCUCCACCUGAAUACUUGUAUCCCUUUGCAUCAAGGGCACUCAUAGAAAUAAGAUUUCUCUUCAUCUUCGGAAUAUACCGAACAUCUGUCAAAGUUCUGAUCAUGCCAUCAAACAUCUUGAUUCGAACGGAACCUAUGCCUUCAAUCUUGCAUGGUGAAUUAUCAAAACCCAAAACGGAACCAGCAGAAGUAGUGGAAUCAAAAGUAUUAAACCAAUCUCUAUGUGGACACAUAUGAAAAGUGCAUGCAGUGUCAAGUACCCACUCAUCAUUGGUCUCAGCACAUCCAGCAAUAACGAGAAGAGCAUCAUCCGAUAUCAUCACGAGCAACAUUAGCAGAAUUGUCACCUUGUUUGUUACCUUUCCUCUUUUCCUUGUUCUUCAACUUGAAACACUCAGAGAUGUCAUGCCCGUCUCUCUUGCAAUAUCUGCAAUACUUCUUGUCUCUGGAUUGCGACCAGCCCCUGUAGCCAUUUUUACUUUUGCCUUUGUUUCCACUAUUGGAGUUCUUCUCCUUUGUCCUGCCACGAACAGAUAAUCCCUCGGCUUGGGAUGAACUCGAACCAUCAUGAGGCACCAUUAGUUUCAUCAUCUCCUUAGAGUUCAAAGCUUCAUAAACUUCAUUAAGCGUGAGAGUAUCACGACUAUAUAAUAUGGUGUCUCUAAAAUUGGUAUAGGAACUUGGCAGUGAACAAAGUAACAUUAAAGCAGUAUCUUCCUCUUCAUACUUAACCUCCAUUGCAGCUAGAUCGGAUAUGAUCUCUUUAAAUUCUGAAAUAUGAUUCAAAACAUUACCUCCCUCAGGUAACCUAUGCAGGAAUAAUUUUUGCUUCAGAUGCAUCUUGCUGGUGAGAUCCUUGGUCAUGCAAAUCCCUUCCAGCUUUAACCAUAGAUCGGCGACAGUUUUCUCGCUCAAAACUUCCUGCAAAAUAUUAUUAUGCAAAUGAAGUUGAAUUUUUGACAAAGCCUUAUGAUCAAUUAUUUUCUCCUCAUCAGUCCAGUCCUAAAUUAUGUUCUUCCCAAAGCUCCAGUGCUUCAUCAUAGUCGGACUGGGCCAACAACACCCGCAUCUUGACUUGCCAUAGGGUAAACCUUGUGUCACGGUCCAGCAGCGGAAGAUCGUACUUCAUGGAUGCCAUGAGUAGAUAAAUCUGUGCACAAAGUAGUACAAGCCGGUAGAAAAAUUCUUGACAGAAUAAAUUUGCGGAGCAAAUAAAAAAUACUGGAUAAAUAGCACCUGGUAACUCGUUAGUUGCCGUAGCAAUUGAAGAUGGAAAAGGACAAAAUCUGGACUACUAGUACUCACGUGAGCCUAUACGUGGAGGCGUUGAGCAGCAGCAACACAGCAGCAUAGCAGAUCGCUUUUGCCUUGGGUGAUGGCGUGGAGCUGCAGCAGUUAAUAAUCAAAUCAAUCGUGGUUGAUUCCCUCUGGACAGAAAACGGGCAUUGCGUAAUGGAGCAGCAGCGGCAGCAGAAGACGCCUGUAGCAGCAGCAACUCUAGCGGCUUGGACAGAUUGCUCCUCGGAACUUGAAGCAACCAGCAGUAGCAACUCGGCGAAACGGCCAGGACGGCUGCAGCUUUGAGGGAUUUCCACGCGAUAUCGAGUCGGUCUCGGCGGAGUAAAAAACGAUCGGAUGAAUCGCAGAACGGCGGCGGCGUGACAGACCGCAACCCUAAUCCCUCUUGUCUCAAAAAUCUCGUAUUUGUAACCUCAGCUCUGUAUACCACUUGUUAGAUAAUAACGAGAAUAAAAGAGACAAAGACAGACACGGAUUUUUACAUGAUUUUUACGUGGAAACCCUUGCGGGAGAAAACCACGGACGCACGAAGGCGCAAUCACUAUGAUGGAGGAGUAUUACAAGCACGAGACGACAGGCCGUCUGAGGUGCGACUACAUGGGGUAUAUAAGAGGGCAAUACAUGAGAGUCCUUGGAGGACAAGUAAACGAGUUUUACUCAUACGCGUCGACGUCAACGCAAUGCCCACACCGGUUGUACUAUAUCUAGUCAACCCGGUACUAGAAUUUGGAUCACAAUUUAACAAAACACAACAUCCGCGACGAGUGGCUUGCCCGGCACCUAGGACAGGAAAAGCCGAAAUCCAUGGCAGCCCUCACAUCACUCAUGACCCGCUUCUGCACGGGAGAGGACAGCUGGCUAGCCCGCAGUAACAAUCUCAACAAAAAUCCUGCAGUCCGGAUAGCAAGGACCGCAAUGGCAGGUCACGGAGCAACAAGCACAAAUGCCGCAUUAACGGUGAUAGUACUGAGGAUAUGGCAGUCAACGCCGGAUUCAGAGGCUCCAAACCCGGUCAGCGGAAAAAGCCAUUCAAAAGAACUACUCCGGGUCCGUCCAAUUUGGACCGAAUACUCGACCGCUCGUGCCAGAUGCACGACACCCCCGAAAAUACAGCUAAUCACACCAACAGGGAUUGUUGGGUAUUCAAGCAGGCAGGCAAGUUAAUUGCCGAAAACAAUGACAAGGGGCUGCAUAGCGAUGACGAGGAAGAGACCCAGCCGCCGAACAAAAGAGGACAGAAGGGUUUUCCCCCACAAGUGCGGAUGGUGAACAUGAUAUACGCAACCCACAUACCCAAAAGGGAGCGGAAGCGUGCACUCAGGGACGUAUACGCGAUGGAGCCAGUCGCCCCAAAGUUCAACCCAUGGUCCUCCUGCCCGAUCACUUUUGAUCGAAGGGACCACCCCACCAGCAUCCGCCAUGGCGGGUUCGCCGUAUUGGUCUAGACCCAAUCAUCAAUGGGUUUCACCUCACUAGAGUCCUGAUGGACGGCAGCAGUGGCCCGAACCUACUUUACCAGGAUACAGUGCGCAAGAUGGGCAUAGACCCCUCAAGGAUUAAACCAACAAAGACGACGUUCAAAGGCAUCAUACCAGGUGUAGAGGCCAAUUGUACAGGCUCAGUUACACUGGAAGUGGUCUUCGGAUCCCCGGAUAACUUCCGAAGCGAGGAGUUAAUCUUCGACAUAGUUCCAUUCCGCAGUGGCUAUCAUGCACUGCUCGGACGAACCGCAUUUGCAAAAUUCAAUGCGGUGCCGCACUACGCAUACCUCAAGCUCAAGAUGCCUGUCCCUCGAGGAGUCAUCACGGUCAAUGGAAACACUGAACGCUCCCUCCGAACGAAGGAACAUACAGCGGCUCUCGCGGCAGAAGUGCAGAACAGCCUCUUAAGGCAAUUCUUGAUUCCGGCUGCUAAACGACCGGACACCGUCAAACGCGCCCAGAGUAACCUACAACAAGACCACCUGGCACGUUCCGAGCACGCGUAGCAGUGCGGCCCCAACCCCAACCCUCGCAAAAUUGCAAGACCAGUACUUCGCGUACAUCAUUACGCUCUGGAGAUACCAUGGGCAUAGGGGGAGGGGCACGACCACGGCAGGCCCAGAGUGCGGCUUAACCACACCAGGGGCUUCCAAGUAUGUCAUCCUUUUUAUUUCCUUUUUUCUUAUCCUCAGGACUCCAUUCACCAGAGGCCCUGUCCGGCAGUAGACCUGCCAAACUCACGAUGCAACAGCCAGGGAAGGAGAAAAGAUACAAUGAGUAUCCAGGUGGUCUCCAUUACGAGCAUUAUACCUGUUUUAUACACCAUUCUGCAGCCUACCCCUGGAGGGGGACAUGCUAAAUAGUUCCACCCCUUGCUUAUCGCACUAUUUGUAUCGUUCUGCAUUCACAGCAGUAUUUUUUGAAUAAACAAUGCAUCGCUUUUUGCCUAUAAUUGCAUUCCUUUCUUAUACAUAUGUUCAUUUAUGACAUGUUGCAUCCGUACAUUUUGGUACGGCUAAAUACACCAGGGGCUUAAGUUCCCCACAUUAUGGUGUGAUAAGUCCGAACACUUUCACAAGUGUGGCACCCCGAACUUAUAGCAUUAUAUGCAUCGGCUCUGAAUCAUGUCUUGGGUCAAUAGUUGGGUUUGCCCGGCUCCCAUGUUUUGGUACCUUACGUUCCGUUAUAUCGGCUAAGGUAGCGCUGGGAGAACCACUGCGAUUGUGCCCCAGUUGAGCUGGGUGAGCACAUCAGUGGAGAAAGCUAAAACUGACCGUCAUGAUGGGGCGAGAUCCGGUCGCUGUUCGAGAGGUUUUUUCGAGUCCCUAAAGACUUAUGCCGCUUAGAGCGAGGAACGGGCUUUGUCCGGCCCAGGCGUGGAUAGCGCCCCGAAUUCGGCCUUCCGAACACUAGGGGCUUCACCGAAAUUUAAAAUUAUACAAUUUUAUGGCUAAGUGAGAGUGUUCAAGCAUUAUAAGUCUGGUUGCCUCGUUCGUUGUGUUGAGCGCCUCCCUAGAUGGACCCAAAAAUGGGAACAAGAGCGCUCAAGUUUAUCCCGAACACCCCAGCACUCGUGGCAUGGGGGCUGAAGCCGACGACUUGUCAUCUCUCAGAUUUGAUAAACGGCCGCACAGAAGGUAAUAUUUUAAAUUAACAAGCGUUGCUUAGCGCAUAUGAACAAAGUUUUCGGCGCACAGGAUAACAAAAUGCGAGUCUACUCAAAUAUUACAUCUUUGGAGCACUCACCCGCAAUAAUGCGGGCACCCUUCAGGACACCCUUAUAAUACAUCUCGGGUGUGCGAUACUCCUUGCCCAGCGGUGGCGCGUCCAUCACAAGCUUCUCAGCAUCCAUCCUGCCCCAGUGCACUUUAGCACGGGCAAGGGCCCGACGGGCACCUUCAAUGCAGGCGGAGUGCUUGAUGACUUCAACCCAGGGACACGCAUCCACCAGCCGCCGCACCAGGCCGAAGUAGCUCCCAGGCAUGGCCUCUUUGGGCCAUAGCCGAACUAUAAGGCCCUUCAUGGCCUGUUCGGCCACCUUGUGGAGCUCGACCAGCUGCUUCAGCUGGUCGCUAAGGGGCACCGGUUGUCCGGCCUCAGCAUACUGAGACCAGAACACCUUCUCUGUCGAGCUCCCCUCCUCGGCUCUGUAGAAAGCGGCAGCAUCAGACACGCUGCGGGGCAGAUCUGUGAACGCUCCUGGAGAGCUCCGAAUUCGGGUAAGUAACAGGUAAUUAACUUUUACAUGCUUGCUUUGCAUGAAGAAUGCCUUACCCGCCACUAUUUUCUUCAAUUCCUCGAUUUCCUGGAGGGCCUUGUGGGCUUCGGCCUUAGCGUCUUUGGCACUCUCAAGAGCUGACGCAAGCUCGGACUCUCGAGUCUUCGAGUCACGCUCCAAACUCUUGUGUUUUUCCACGAGAGCCUGGAGCUCUUGCCGUACCUCCGCCACCCGCGCCUCCUGCUUCUCUCGCUCGGCGCGUUCCGCGGCUGCAUUGCGUUCGGCCGCGGAUACCGCCUCCUUCAGGGUCGCCACCUCGUUCGUAGCCCCUGGAGUACCCACUUUAUCCUUGUCAUUCCUCCUGCAACCAAAUCCUUUUCUGUAAGGUAAAACUUUAAUAAGGUGUUACUCACCUUCCUUGUCCUCGAGCUGCUUCUUGGCACGGCCGAGCUUGCUCUCGGAUCUCUCAAGGCUCUGCUUCAAGGCAUUGACCUCCGCAGUCAGUGCUGCAGAGGUCAGCAGCGCAGCCUGCAUUCCCAUAUUGACAUAUAUUUGUUAAGACUCCUGCGUAUAUCUUUUUAGAUCCUCAGUCCGUCUUUUCUUUCCGAACACCGAACCGAGCAUCAGGGGCUACUGUCUAUGUGGUACUAUUUUACAUAACUUAAAAUUCUUACCUCAAAGCCUGUUAGAAGGCUGUUGCAGGCUUCGGUCAGCCCGCUCAUGGCGAGCUGAACCUUCUGAAUCACCGCACUCAUGACAGUGCGGUGUUCCUCUUUGAUGGAAGCGCCGUUGAGCGCCUCCAGCAGGUUAUCCGGCGCCUCCGGUUGGACGGAGGCCGCCGGCGUCAUAGUCUUGCCCUUCUUACGAAGGGGCCGCCCGCCGGACUCUGGAACCACUGCAGGUUCCGGUGCGGAGUCCAGUCCAAAGUCUGGGAGGUUGCCCUGCAGCACCUCCGGGGCCUCCUCCUCCUGGUGGGUCCCUUUCCAGGAACCCACCUCGGUGUCGUCGGUGUCACGGGGGGAGGAGGCGGCCGGAAGUGAAAUGCUAUUCACAUCCGACGUACCCAAGGACCCACUCGACGAAGCGGCAAGAUCAUCCUUGGGCGGACUACAGGGUUGUAUGCGGCGUUAAAAGAUGCUAUGCGACAAAAAGAAAAUUAUUAGUUAUUCGGGAGUCUAGAUACUUAUGAUCUCGCCAGGGGCUUGGCCCUUGAGGGCCACUCCUCGUCGCCGUCAUCGGCGUUGGUGGAACAGUCCGGGGGAAGGGUCCUUCCCUUCUUGGACCCUUCGGCCUCCCCCAUUGGGGAUGCCUUCCUCUUCUUCUCUCCCCCCGCUGGGGGAGAGGCCUCCUUCUUCUCCUCCUCGUCCUCGUGGGAGGAGUCCGCCUCGGAUUCGUGAGAUGAUGAAUCCGGUAACACCUGACGCCGGGAACUCCUCCGGGUUCCCGUGGCCUUCUUCUUGGCCUUCUUCUCUGGCACCACGUAAGGCGCCAGGACCAGCAGCCCUGUCAAACGGGCAUCCGCUGGGUCUUCUGGAAGGGGAGCCGGAUAGUUAACCUGUCCAGACGUCUCCUGCUAGGCCUGUUAAAAGUAUUGGGAGUUUAGAUCCCGCAUAGAGUCAAACUAUAAAAAGCAAGUGUCCCAUAAAGGAUAACAUGGCUUACCUCGCCAGCCGUACGCUGCGAGCUGAAUCCGCGAUCUUCGGUAGCAGAUGCGGGAGCCUCGGCGCCCUUAAAUAGCACCCUCCAGGCCUCUUCGUACGUAGUGUCGAAGAGCCCGCUCAAGGUCUGGUGAUGUGCCGGAUCGAACUCCCAAAGGUUGAAGUCCUGCUGUUGGCAGGGGAGAAUCCGGCGGAUGAGCAUGACCUAGAUUACGUUGACAAGGUUGAGCUUCUUGUUCACCAGAGUUUGGAGACAGGAUUGAAGUCCGGUCAGCUCUUCCGAAUUACCCCACAGCAGGCCCUUCUCUUUCCAGGAAGUGAGCCGCAUGGGGAUGCCAGAUCUAAAUUCGGGGGACGCUGCCCAUUCAGGGUCACGCGGCUCGGUGAUGUAGAACCACCCCGAUUGCCACCAUUUGAUGGUUUCCACAAAGGCUCCCUCGAGCCAAGUGACGUUGGGCAUCUUGCACACCAUGGCGCCUCCGCACUCCGCUUGGCUGCCCUUCACAACCUUCGGCUUGACAUUGAAGGUCUUUAGCCACAAGCCGAAGUGGGGCUGGAUGCAGAGGAAGGCCUCGCACACGACGAUAAACGCUGAGAUGUUGAGGAUGAAAUUUGGGGCCAGAUCGUGGAAAUCCAGGCCGUGGUAGAACAUGAGCCCCCGGACAAAGGGGUUGAGUGGGAAGCCCAGUCCGCGGAGGAAAUGGGGAAGGAAUACCACUCUCUCAUGGGGCUCGGGGGUGGGGAUGAGCUGCCCCUCGUCGGGGAGCCGGUGCGCGAUGUCGCUGGACAAAUAUCCGGUGUUGUGCAGCUUCUUGAUGUGCCCCUCUGUAACGUAGGAGGCCAUCCACUUGCCUCCCGCUCCGGACAUGGCUAGAGAAGGUUGAGGUGAGAUGUGCGGACUUGGGCACUGGAGCUCGAGUGCGUGGAGAUGGAUAAGCAAAGGAGGAAGAAGGCGUAGGUAAAAAGAUGGAUCCUUAUCCCCUUAUACAUGGGCGGACGAAACUAUGCGUCCCCACCAGCCUGGUAAAACUUGCUUAUCUCCCAAGCGCCACAAUCAAUGGUGCGGUUGGGUUACCCAGGUCCGUAUUGAUGAGAAUCCCGGAAUAAGGGGACACGAUCUCUGCUUCGACAAGACGUGCCAAGGAAACCGCUUUGCUAAACGCGCUGAGGUGGAAUAAUAAAAACGAUUCGAAUAAAGGCUUGGCCGUGGCGCGACGUCACGCCACGAAAUACGUCAGCAGAUUGAACUUGUGUAAAUAUUAUUCUCUCUAUGGAGGUAUGUGGAAUUUAUUUUGCAGAGCCGGACACUAUCCUGGUGUUCACAAUCUUCUAUGAAUUAUUCGGAGGAGGAACCCGCCUUGCAAUGCCUAAUACAAUAUGUGUGCCGGACUCAUCGUCAUUGAAGCCUGGUUCAGGGGCUACUGAGGGAGUCCUGGACUAGGGGGUGUCCGGAUAGCCGAACUAUCAUCAUUAGCCGGACUCCAAGAUUAUGAAGAUACAAGAUUGAAGACUUCGUCCCGUGUCCGGAUGGGACUUUCCUUGGCAUGGAAGGCAAGCUUGGCAAUACGGAUAUGUAGAUCUCCUACCAUUGUAACCGACUCUGUGUAACCCUAGCCCACUCUGGUGUCUAUAUAAACCGGAGGGUUUUAGUCCAUAGGACGAACAACAAUCAUACCAUAGGCUAGCUUCUAGGGUUUAGCCUCCUUGAUCUCGUGGUAGAUCUACUCUUGUACUACCCAUAUCAUCAAUAUCAAUCAAGCAGGAGUAGGGUUUUACCUCCAUCGAGAGGGCCCGAACCUGGGUAAAAACAUCGUGUCCCUUGUCUCCUGUUACCAUCCGCCUAGACGCACAGUUUGGGACCCCCUACCCGAGAUCCGCCGGUUUUGACACCGACACUAUGUAUUUACUGUUUCUUCCCCUCUUCUCUCUGGUAGACUCCGAGACCGAUGUUGAUGCCACUAUGAUCGACUACGUCGACGACGACCCUCCUUGUCUGAGCAACCAGGCAAGCUCCCCCUUUGAUCAUCCCGAUAUCGCCCAUUCUAUACUCUCAUGCCUACAUUAGAUUUUGCUACUGUAUUUGAUUGCUCCUAUUCUGAUGCAUAGUCUGCUUUUGUACCUGCUUGUUGUUACCUACCCUCUUAUCCUAAACUGCUUAGUAUAGGUUGGCUAGUGAUCCAUUAGUGACCCCCACUUGUCCUUGUUGCCCCAGCUUCAUCAUCGACGACUCGAUCAACGUGAUCGACGACCAGAGCCCAACACCUCACAUCACAUCACGCCCCUUUAGUUGCUCGACUCUGCAGAGCUACUAUCGAGUGUCGAGGGUGAUCCCUCAUAACGCACUCCUGAUGAUAAUUCUGUAGUGUAUCUAUUUGGUCAUGGUCAUCGAGGGUGAUUUCCUCUUUUACCAUUCCCGAUACGGCUCUGUCGUUCAACACCUCAAGUGUGAACCUCGAGGGUGGUACCUCUUAUGUUCACCUUGAUGAUUACAUUGAGUGGAAUCCACCGGGGGUGAUUCCUCGGGUUUUCCCCUUGAUGUCUGGACACACGGUUACAUUGACUUUACUUGAGACCUUGGUGAAAGUCGGGCGGGCCCGGAGAGCACCCGCAAGAUAAUGACGUGGCACGGCCGGGCAUUCUCGGCCCUAGUCGUAAUUCCACGAGACGGGGUGACAGGAUCACUUCAAUCGUGAGUCUCUGCUCAUCUCCGCAAGCUAAUAAUACACUAUGGUUUGGGUAUUUGUUCUGAGUUGGCCUUUGGCCUUUACGCACCAACCACCACACGAGAAUAGUUAUGGGCCUCGGCGUCGUGCUAUCAGCCGAAGCUUUGUCAGACGUCCAGUUCAGCAGUGCGGCAUGGCUGGGCCGGCACCAUCCAUGUAGAGGUGGAGCCUGGACCCGCCCUGCGCGCAACGACCCGGAGUGCAACGGGCGAUGGGCCCAAACCCUGGAGUGCUUAGGAGGUAGAUCGGCGGGACCUCUCUGCUUAGCCUAGGUAGGGUUGCGACGUGUUGAUCUUCCGAGGCUGGGCAUGACCCAUGAAAGUGUGUCCGGCCAGAGUGAUCGAGCGUGUUGGAAAACAUGGUGCAACCCUUCAGGGAAGAUUAUCUAUUAAUAGUCGUGUCCAUGGUAACGGACGUUCAGACUUAUAUCCUGAUCUUAUACAACUACAAAUGGAUACUCAAGAUAUGUGGCUCCGAGAUUGCUUUCUCGCAGGGAGUCGAGGAAGGAUCUCUGGGUAUUAAUAUUACAACACGUUUGUUAAAUAUUAAACUGCUAUUCUUUACUCUUCUACAUGCUGCAAGAUGCUUGGAGCUGCGUGAAGAUGCUAGUCUUUGAUAUGCUAUGCCUUCCCCCUCUAGUCUGGCAUUCUGCAGUUCAGUCCACAGAUACAACCCUUCCAUUUGAUACCAAUGCAUACUUAGUAUAGAUCUGAUGCUUGCGAGUACUUUGGAUGAGUACUCAUGGUUGCUUUGCUACCCCUUUUCCCCCUUCUUUCUUCAUUCCGGUUGAUGCAACCAGAUGGUGGAUCCCUGGAGCCAGAUGCAACCGUCGAUGGAUGCUACUACGUGAAGACCGCCGAUGACCAGGAGUAGUUAGGAGGUCCCAGGCAGGAGGCCUUGCCUCUUCGAUCGUGUUGCUUUUGUGCUAG
rnacentral:lncRNA from 1 species